AAUCCUAGACAACACAAUGCAUUUGACUAAAUGCAUCUUUUUCUGAAAGAUAAAAUUAUGGUUCUUUUCUUUUAGUACUCAGUAAUUUUUCUGUGCCUUCCAGGCUCCUAGAUGUUGUUUCAACUUUUCAAAGCUUUUCCAACACUAUUUUUUAAGAUAAUUUAAGAAAAAAAUAACAGACUUUUCAAAGAAUUUUAUGCAAAUCAAAUGAUACAACAGUGUUCAAUCCAAGUGAAUAUUGGUUUAUAUUUUUCAUUGUUGAGAGACAACAAAAAUAUGGUAUCAGACACCAAAUGAGAUUAGGUAACAGCUGCAGCCUGAAAAAACUGAUGUCAAAGAUGAUCCUGCUUGUUUCGUUACAGAUUCUAGAUCUUAAUCUUUAAAAUUCUUGAACUUUUAAACAGCAUAGUGAUUUGUUAUUACCUCAUUACUAGGCAAAAGCAUUAAGGGUUCUCAAAGAUUUAUUCCUAGAUCAACAGUAUCACUGGUGAACUAACAAGAAAUGUCAUUCCUGGGUCUUAGCUCAGAUCUACUGACUUAAAAUCCAGGUAUGGGCAUGGCGGUCUCGAGCAGCUCCUCUAGGUUGAGGUGUGCUCAUACUUGGGAACAACUGGAAUAGUGUUUUAUCAAGCCAGGUCUAAAAAUGUCUGAUUGUUGGAAAUGGAACACUAAGCAACCUUUAUGCCUAGAGAUAACAUGCGCUAAACCCAUCGAACUGAUUUACAAAUGUGAUUUACAGCUUACACAGUUAAAGUUACUACACAUAUUUGCAGUUGUGUACUAUAAAAGUCGACAGAAUUAUUUAUAAAGUUUGUAUAAUUUUAAACUUUUUUCAAGAGUAAAGUUUUUAUAAGUACAUAAAGCGUGCAAGGUGAAAAUAAAGCUCUCGCCUAACAGUUGAUAAAUGUAGCAUUUAUACUGGCA